UUUUUAUUUUUUUUAGCAACAGAGUCUCACUCUGUUUCCCAGGAUGGAGUGCAGUGGCAUGAUCAUACUUCAUUAUAGCCUCCAACUCCCUGGGUCAAGCAAUCCUUCCACCUCAGCCUUCUAAGUAGCUGGGACUACAGGCGUGCACUACCAGGCCUGGCUAAUUUUACAAUUUUCUUUUGUGGAGACAGGGUCUCCCUAUCUUGCUUAGGCUGUCUCAGUCCUGAUAAUUAAGUGAUAUGGGCACAGGGUGUCAAGUCUCAAUGCACAGCUGUGACAAGCCUGGGCCGAUCAGCCUGGAGGUGGAAAGAAGCGGGAGGGGCAGGGAGGCUUUCCCUGGUGUUCGCACCCACAAGGUGCUGUCUAGAGUCUGGGAGGAGGUGGGCAGGGGGGUGGUGUCAGCCAGAGGCUUCAAACACUGGGACACUGCUCCACAUCUGUACUGUGUGUAACUGUCCAUUUAUUCUUGACCAGGUAUUCACUUGCCCUUUACGUUCUCGGCAUUCUGCUAGGGCUGUGGGGAUUGAUCCAGGCUCUGCCAGUUCUAGAGGAUAGGAGGUCCAAGAUGAAAGCACCUGCAGGUUCAGUGUCUGGUGAGGUGUCUUCCUGAUUCCUAGAUGGCCAUCAUCUCCCUGUGUCCUCACAGGGUAGAAGGGGCUGGGGAAGCUCUCUGGGGUUCCUUUUACAAGGGCACAAAUCCCAUCCAUGAAGGCUCAGUCCUCAUGACUUAAUCACCUCCCAAAGGCCCCACCUCCUAAUACCAUCACACUGGGGCUUAGAUUUCAACAUACGAAUUUGGGGAGACACAGACAUUCAGCCUUUAGCAGGUAGGAAGGUUAGCACUUUGGUUCCCACACAUAUAAACGCCCCUAAGUCAGUGCUUCUCAGAACUUCACUGUGCAUAGGAAUCACUUGGGGAUCUUGUUAAAGCGCAGAUUCUGCUUUAGAAGUUCUGGGAUGGAGCUGCGGGUCUGCAUUUCUAACGAGCUCCCAGGCAGUGCUGCUGCCGUUGGUCAGUGGACCCACGUGGAAUAGCCAGGCUCCAGGAUGCUAUCACCUUCCAGCCUUUCCUCUGGAGGUUUUGGGGUUUCUACUUGAACCUACUGGGUCAGACGGCCUCAUAGGAAAGGGUACCAGAAUGAGAAAAACCUGAGAUCCUCACUGGUGGUAGGAUGUGCUGUAUUGAUUUGGCUCAGAAUACACUGAGACAAGAGCCCAGGUGAAAAGUGUUUCUUCUCCUCGCUGGGUAACAGAGCCAUGAGGCUCAUCCGCAGAAAAUCAACCACGACCUUGUUUCCUUGGAGCUCCAGGGUACAAUCUCUGUUAGUCUGGAGCUGAGAGGGUGCUUACUAAUUACAUUUAUUGGGUGAACGUGGAUGAAACAAUCUGCUUGAAUCUUGUAAUCUAUGUUUCUAUUGGCACCAGCCCCAGGACAGGGUGUGUCAUUUGACAGGAGGUACUAAGCAGGACUCCAUAUUGAAAACACUCCAUGACAGCUACCACUAAAGGAAUUUUCAAAUUUCAUUUUUUCCCCAAACACUGCCUUUCUUAGCUGCUGAGUUUUCUGUGUCUCAUCUGCAUGGAGCCUCUUCCCCCGGAAAAGGGAUUAGGCAGGGCCUGGGCGACCCUCCAAGGAAGGCGGAGGCUAUUUGCAUCUCUAACCACAAGGAAAUUACUCCUGACAGCCCAAAGUAAAGCAGAAAUAUUAAGAACCAUGGAGUGACGUUCCUGUACCAGAAGAAAAAUGGAAGAUUAUAAAAAGUUUUAGAGGCCAGAGCACAGCAGUAAAUUGUAGAUUAUGAAUAUAUAUUUAAAGUCUGCAUGAAAGUCAGUGGCCUUUUUUCCUCAGAAUUUGCAAAAGUGUGUUUUCGAUGGGCUGUUUCAGAGUUUUUUGAUUAUGAUAGCUUAACAUAUGACGUUUCUAAUUUCCUUAUGUUAUUGUCCUUCAGAAACACUGGCUCUAUCUCCAUUUUAAAAUUCCACACAAAAAAAAAGACAGGUAAUUUGCACAUUUAGGAAUGUAUUACCCAGUUUUUAAAUGGUCCAGACAUUUGAGUUUUCCUGAUACCUGCUUCUGGCUAAUGUAUGCAAAAGAAGAAGAGCGAAGGGAGAUAAAAUUCAAAUCGAUAUACUUUGUACCCACUUAUGAAAAGCUCUGGUGAAAAAUAUGUGGACCUGAAAGAAUGCAGAGGUGACUCUCUAUUGCUACUCACCCUGAGGCCUUGGGGUUCUCGGUGAUGGAUUCAGGGCUUCUUCUCUGGCCACUGUUGGGUGAUAUUGGUGAUAUACACACAGGAGGUUAAUUUGUUGGAGCCAAAAACUACGCAUGAGUACAACAAUAAUAAAUAUUACUUUAAGUUAAAAAAUGAAUCCCGGCCAGGCACGGUGGCUCAUGCCUGUAAUCCCAGCACUUUGGGAGGCCGAGGUGGGUGGAUCACCUGAGGUCAGGAGUUUGAGACCAGCCUGAC
rnacentral:lncRNA from 10 species